rnacentral:lncRNA from 1 species
GUCAAGGUUGAGAAUUACUGGGAUUCUAGAGUGAACUGAAGAGAGGGAAAGGAUUUGAAGACAGAAAGAAAAGGGAGGUGUAUGAAAAGUAGAUCUCAUUUCCACAAGUCACAGGGUUAAUGAGUGCAACAGGUUUUGAAUAAUGUUUGCAAUUGAACUUUUAAUGUCAGUAACCCUGGCUUUUAAAUACCCAAUGGGACCAGUCCAGUGCAACAGAAAAUGACAGGAAUGUAUGGAAUCUGGUCAAGGUGUUAAGAGGCUCCAACCCAGUGGGGAAGGGGAAAGCUAUUGAUUAAAACAAAAACUAUUUUGAGUUUUUGUUAUUAUGAGUUGAGCUCCUUAAUGAAGUUUUUCUAUUAUGGCUAUAUUGGCUGCACCCUAAAUGGGGUGUCCUGGGUGAACCAAAUGCUGGUGUAGGGAAAGGAAUGGGAAUGUUGAGGGGAUGGGAAGAGGCAUCAAGAACAGGAAUAUAAUUUUCCUACAGUGCUGUUCUGCUGAGACUACAGAGUACCUCAGGGAGUCAUGCAUCCUCUUCCUGUUGCUUUACUGAAUCUUAAAGAGUGAUACAGUACUAAUGAUGCCAUUCUAGCAACUGGAGCAGCUUCAGGGGAGAGAGCACAUUAAGGGUGCUGGGAUGGUAAUGGUUGGGAGGAAGCUGAAUGGUAGUAAGAGAGACAUUCUGUCCUGAGAACUCUGAUCCAAAAGACAGGCAAUUAGAUUGAAAAAUACCUGUGAUUCAAAGAAGUCACAAGUCACAGAGACAAACUUUUCCCAGUGUGUUCGAGUCAGAGAACCUUUGCAAAGACCAACAGGCUAAAAGAGAAAAUACAAUGUCAUCUUGAUGCAGAUGAGCAGGUAACCAUGGAAGUCGUGAGCUGAGGCUGCAGAGUCUAGAGCCAGAGUGUGGAAUAAACUUGGGUCUCAAAUCACCCCUGGAGCAAAGCACCCAUCUAAUCAGGAACUUCUACUUUCAACUUUACAUGCGUGAGAAAUGAACUUCUAUCAUGUUAGAGAAAUCCUUACACGGCGCCCUUGAGAGCUUUCAUACUGCAAGUCAUCCAUUUUCCUCCCCUCAAACCUGGCAUCGGAGUUUAUUGAAACAAAGCAAAAUAAAACAAAUAGACA